AUGGCGGCACCGGCGGCGAGGAGCGUGGGGGUGGCGGAGCGGGCGCUGCGCGGGGUGGCGGAUCUGAUCAAGCUGCUGCCGAGCGGCACGGUGUUCAUGUUCCAGUUCCUCAGCCCGCUCGUCACCAACAACGGCCACUGCGCCGCCUACAACAAGGUGCUCUCCGGCGCGCUCCUCGCGCUCUGCGGCGCCUUCUGCGCCUUCUCCUCCUUCACCGACAGCUACGUCGGCUCCGACGGCAGGGUCUACUACGGCGUCGUCACGCGCCGCGGGAUGCGCACCUUCUCCACCGACCCGGACGCCGGCGCCGCCAGGGACCUGUCCGGGGACACCGUGUCCUGCCUCUACCCGGCGUUGGAGGCCGGCGAGAGGACCAUGAUGGCCGUGCUGCCGCCGGUCGUCGGCGGCGUCGCCAGCUACGCCUUCAUGAUGUUCCCCAACAACCGCCACGGCAUCGGCUACCAGCCCACGCGCGCAACCGAGGACUUCGAGCACAAGCACUAG
rnacentral:rRNA from 1 species